GGGCCACGUCGCCACGUGUUGGUUGUAACGGUAAAAUUUUCCGAUAAAGAAAUCUUUGCGGUGUGAGUGUAGAACGUUGUUGGUUGUUGGUCAGACGUUUGGGCUUUGUCAUCAUUAUCGACUACUACAUACAGUCCUAGUCAUUGGUGAACGUUGCACAACACUUUUUUACCGAAAUGACCCAAUAAGAGAGAUUCGGAAUAUUAGGAGCACAUCAUUCAGGGUCCAAGAAGAUAAUUCGAGCAGCCCAAAAAGAGUCACAAACCUAAAGCCUAUCUUCGGGGUCACAGUAAUGGGCCUUGACUUAGUCUUGUGGCCCACCAUGAGUUUAGCAUGAGGUGGUUGUAAUUAGUUUCUCCUUUUUAUGAGGCGGUUAGGAGGCUAGUUAGUAUAAAAGCACUUACCUAUGUCCAAUUAAGACACCAUGUUCGAAGAAUACUCUUUGUCUUGUUAUUACACAAAUCUCUCUUUAUAAUAGCAUUACAUUGACCUUAAUACAA